rnacentral:rRNA from 1 species
UGGCGGACGGGUGAGUAACGCGUGGGUAACCUGCCUCAUAGAGGGGGACAACAGUUGGAAACGACUGCUAAUACCGCAUAGUAAGAAAGAUUCGCAUGUUUCUUUCUUGAAAGAUUUAUCGCUAUGAGAUGGACCCGCGUCUGAUUAGCUAGUUGGUGAGGUAACGGCCCACCAAGGCAACGAUCGGUAGCCGGACUGAGAGGUUGAACGGCCACAUUGGGACUGAGACACGGCCCAGACUCCUACGGGAGGCAGCAUG